GUGAGGAAUUUUCCGCAAUGGGCGAAAGCCUGACGGAGCAAUGCCGCGUGAAGGAUGAAGGCCUAUGGGUUGUAAACUUCUUUUCUUAGAGAAGAAUAUUGACGGUAUCUGAGGAAUAAGCAUCGGCUAACUCUGUGCCAGCAGCCGCGGUAAUACGAAGGGGGCGAGCGUUAUUCGGAAUCACUGGGCGUAAAGCGUGCGUAGGCGGUUUUGUAAGUUAGGAGUGAAAGCCCAGGGCUCGACCUUGGAAUUGCUCUUAAAACUGCAAGGCUCGAAUCUCGGAGAGGAUAGCGGAAUUUCCAGUGUAGCAGUGAAAUGCGUAGAUAUUGGAAGGAACACCAGUGGCGUAAGCGGCUAUCUGGACGAGUAUUGACGCUGAGGCACGAAAGCGUGGGGAUCAAACAGGAUUAGAAACCCUUGUAGUCC
rnacentral:rRNA from 1 species